rnacentral:rRNA from 1 species
UAAUAAUAAGGUGAGUUGUAUUCAAGAAGCACAUAGGGAGCAUGUCGUCCCCUAUUUUGAAAUAAAUUCCAACAGGGAGCCCUAAGUAAUGUUGAGUUAAUAGUGGGAAUCUUUAGUGUCAUGCCACGGCUAAAACUACUGCCCAAGUCUGGGGAGCUUCGGGUUUCCAUGUCAACGGUGGACUUGGGCCAAGUUCCUUGGAAGGGGGCACUUAAGAGGGUGGCAGCCUUAUUGGGUCAGAACUCUGUUGCAUCAUGAGGCAUUGUCGAUGAGUUAGGUUGCUUGGGAAUGCAACCCUAAUUGGGUGGUAAAUUCUAUCUAAGGCUAAAUACGGGCUAGAGACUGAUAAUGAAUAACUGUUGUGAGGGAAUGAUGAAAAUGAAUUUGAAAAGAGAGUUAAAUAGUGAUUGAAAUUGUAGGGAGGGAAGCGGAUGGAGGUUGUCAAUGUAUCCCGGUCAGAUGUGGAACAACUCAGGUUGGUCCAUAGCUCGACUUGAGGUGCAAACCAACACAGGUUGUUGCAUUGUCACAAGCACAGGUGGAUUACUGCCUGUUAGUUUCCAUUUCAGUGGUCGAGGAAUGAAGCAUGUACCCUUGUGGCGAGCUAUGUGCACCUGCAUGCUCAUGGUGUUGAUUUGCAGGCUUUCCAUUUGACCUAUCUUGAAACACAGACCAAUGAGUCUAACAUGUGUACGAGUUGGUAGGUUUAAAAACCUUUGAGGUGCAAGGAAGUUGAAAGGCGAGAUCCCCUCUGGGGGGUGCAUCAUCGACCAACCUUGAGUUUAUGCGAAGGGUUUUAGUGCGAGCACACCUGAUGGGACCCGAAAGAUGGUGAACUAUGCUUAAGGAGGGCAAAGCUAGAGGAAACCCUGGUAGAGGCUUCUAGUAAUACUAACAUGAAAAUCAUUCAUCUAACUUGGGUAUAGGGGAAAAAGACUAAUCAAACCAUUUAGUAUCUGGUUUGCUCCGAAGUUUCCCUCAGGAUAGCUAGAGCUCACACGUGACUUUUAUCAGGCAAAGAAAAUGAUUAGAGUCAUCAGGGGUGUAAUGCCCUCGACCUAUUCUCAAACUUUAAAUAGGUAAGAGGGUGCAGCUACUCCAUUGAGCUGUGCCAUGGAACCGAGAGCUCCAAAUGGGCCAUUUUUAGUAAGUAGAACUAGAGAUACAAGAUGAACCAAAAGUCAAGUUACAGUGUCGAAUUACGCACUAACCUAGAUCCCACAAAGGUUGUUGGUUGAUUAAGAUAGAAGGACAGUGGUCAUGGAAGUCAAAAUCUGCUAAGGAGUGUGUAACAACUCACUUGCUGAAUCAACUAGCCCAGAAAAUGGAUGGUGCCGAAGCACGCAACCUACACUCAACGGUAGGAGAAAUUUCCUGGCUUCAAUGAGUGAGAGGAUGUGGGGGUCAUUGAGAAAUCUUGGGCGUGAGCUUGGGUGGAUCACCCCUUGAUGCAGAUAAUGGUGGUAGUAGCAAAUAUUCAAAAUGAGAAGUUUGAAGACUAAUGUGGGGAAAGGUUCCAUGUGAACAACACUUGGACAUGGGUUAGUCGAUCCUAAGAGAUGGGGAAGCCUUGUAUCAAGGGUGCACACUACAUGAGCAUCGAAAGGGAAUCAGGUUAAUAUUCCUGAACCAGGACAUGGUGAUGGGUGGCAACGUUAGGAAAUCUGGAGACGUCGUCAGGGGCCCCGGGAAGAGUUAUCUUUUCUUUUUAAUAGCUUUGGAACCCUAGAAUCGGUUCACUUGGAUAUAGGGUCCAAUAGUUUGAAUAGCACCACAUGUAUUGCUAUGUCUAGUGCACCCUCGGCAACCCUUGAAAAUCUAGAGGAUCGAGCAUUGUCAUGCCUAGUCGUACUCAUAACCACAUCAGUUCUCCAAGGUGAACAACCUCUAGUAAAUAGAACAAUGUAGGUAAGGGAACUCGGAAAAAUGGAUCUGUAACUUCGAGAAAAUGAUUGGCUCUUAGGGCUGGGCCUAGGGGUCUGUGCCCUCAACUUGUGGGUUGUCGGCAGUCCGCCUGAGCUACUCUCAUGGCAAGGACAGGCAGUCGCGUGCCAAUUGGCCUAUGUGCGUAGAAUGAACCCUACUAGGGCUUUUCCCUAGGUGGUGAAUAGUCGACUCAGAACUAGUACAAAUAAGGGGAAUUUGACUAUUUAAUUAAAACAAAGCAUUGUGAUGGUCAAUGCGUAUGCUGACGCAAUGUGACUUUUGCAUAGUGCUCUGAAUGUUAAAGUGAAGAAAUUCAACCAAGCACGAGUAAAUGGUGGGAAGAACUGUGACUCUUUUAAGUUAUCCAAAUGCCUCAUCAUCUAAUUAGUGACGCGCAUGAUUGUGAAAUGACUUGAGAGGUGUAGAAUAUGUGAGAGCCAUUUUCAGUGCAAGUGAAAUAACACUACUUUUAACAUUAUUUUACUUAUUUCGUGGGGAGGAGAUGGGGCACUACCCAUGUUUUUGGCCUUAAGGCACGUUUCGAUGGGUCGGUCUGGGCGGAAGAUGUUGUAUGGUGGGGAGUUUGGCUGGGACAACACAUCUGUUAAAAGAUAACGCAGGUGUCCUAAGAUGAGCUCAACGAGAACAGAAAUCAUGUGUGGAACAAAAGGGUAAAAGCUCAUCUAAUUUUGAUUUUUAAGUAUGAAUACAAACCGUGAAAGCAUGGCUUAUUGAUCCUUUGGAUUUUUGGAAUUUGAAGCUAGAGGUGUCAGAAGAGUUACCACAGGGAUAAUUGGCUUGUGGCAGCCAAGCAUUCAUAGCAACAUUGCUUUUUGAUCCUUUGAUGUCGGCUCUUCCUAUCAUUGUGAAGUAGAAUUCACCAAGUGUUUGAUUGUUCACCCACUAAUAGGGAAUGUGAGCUGGGUUUAGACCUUCAUGAGACAAGUUAGUUUUACCCUCUUGAUGAACCACACUGUAAUAGUAAUUCAACCUAGUAUGAGAGGAACUGUUGAUUUGCACAAUUGGUCAUCGCGCUUGGUAGAAAAGACAGUGGCACGAAGCUACUGUGUGUCAGGUUAUGAAUAAACACCUCUAAGUCAAAAUCCAUGCUAGAAGUGGUGCAUGUCACUCUUUGACUGUAUCUCGACCCGCAGUAGGGGAAUCACAUUAUUUCCCCCACGGGCCCAUGUCAUUUGUAAUAUGCGACUGUGAAGAAUCUCGGUUAGGGUAGCUUUAAAGUUCAAUUCCAAAUGGUCAUUGAGAAGAAUUCUUUGCAGACAACUUAAAUACAUGACGGGGUAUUGUAAGUGUGAAAGUGGUCUUGCUGCCACGAUCCACUAAGAUUUAGCCCUUGAUCGCCU